UGCAAGUCGAACGCUUCUUUUUCCNCCGGAGCUUGCUCCACCGGAAAAAGAGGAGUGGCGAACGGGUGAGUAACACGUGGGUAACCUGCCCAUCAGAAGGGGAUAACACUUGGAAACAGGUGCUAAUACCGUAUAACAAUCAAAACCGCAUGGUUUUGAUUUGAAAGGCGCUUUCGGGUGUCGCUGAUGGAUGGACCCGCGGUGCAUUAGCUAGUUGGUGAGGUAACGGCUCACCAAGGCCACGAUGCAUAGCCGACCUGAGAGGGUGAUCGGCCACAUUGGGACUGAGACACGGCCCAAACUCCUACGGGAGGCAGCAGUAGGGAAUCUUCGGCAAUGGACGAAAGUCUGACCGAGCAACGCCGCGUGAGUGAAGAAGGUUUUCGGAUCGUAAAACUCUGUUGUUAAGAAGAAAAGGAUGAGAGUAACUGUUCUCCCUUGACGAUCUAACCAA
rnacentral:rRNA from 1 species